rnacentral:lncRNA from 1 species
GUUCGUACAUGUGUUCGCUUUCCGGGUUACCUGCAGUGGCGCUGAUGCCUGUGGCUUUAUAAGUGGCGAAGACGUGCUCGUGUCAACACUUCCCUGGCUCUCAUUGCUAAGAUAAGAGGGUUUUUCACCGAAUUCAUCAUGAAGUUCGCGCUUUUCAUCGUUCUUGCGAUGGCCUCCCAGCUGCCCCGACCCACACAGUUAUAACAUCAACUGCUUCCGAUACGAAGACCUGUGCCACUCUGACUACGACUGCAACCAUGGCAAGAAGUGCUGCCUCGUGGGUGGGUGUGG